rnacentral:rRNA from 1 species
UACGGGGGGGGCAAGCGUUGUUCGGAAUUACUGGGCGUAAAGGGCUGGUAUGCGGCCAACUAAGUCGGAUGUGAAAUCCCCAGGCUUAACCUGGGAACUGCAUCCGAUACUGGUCGGCUUGAAUCCGGGAGAGGGAUGCAGAAUUCCAGGUGUAGCGGUGAAAUGCGUAGAUAUCUGGAGGAAUACCGGUGGCGAAGGCGGCAUCCUGGACCGGCAUUGACGCUGAACAGCGAAAGCUAGGGGAGCAAACGGG